UGAGGUGCUUGCACCUCUUGGUUAGCGGCGGACGGGUGAGUAACACGUGGGCAACCUGCCUGUAAGACUGGGAUAACUUCGGGAAACCGGAGCUAAUACCGGAUAAUCCUUUUCCUCUCAUGAGGGAAAGCUGAAAGACGGCGCAAGCUGUCACUUACAGAUGGGCCCGCGGCGCAUUAGCUAGUUGGUGAGGUAACGGCUCACCAAGGCGACGAUGCGUAGCCGACCUGAGAGGGUGAUCGGCCACACUGGGACUGAGACACGGCCCAGACUCCUACGGGAGGCAGCAGUAGGGAAUCUUCCGCAAUGGACGAAAGUCUGACGGAGCAACGCCGCGUGAGCGAUGAAGGCCUUCGGGUCGUAAAGCUCUGUUGUUAGGGAAGAACAAGUACCGGAGUAACUGCCGGUACCUUGACGGUACCUAACCAGAAAGCCACGGCUAACUACGUGCCAGCAGCCGCGGUAAUACGUAGGUGGCAAGCGUUGUCCGGAAUUAUUGGGCGUAAAGCGCGCGCAGGCGGUUCCUUAAGUCUGAUGUGAAAGCCCCCGGCUCAACCGGGGAGGGUCAUUGGAAACUGGGGAACUUGAGUACUGAAGAGGAAAGCGGAAUUCCACGUGUAGCGGUGAAAUGCGUAGAGAUGUGGA
rnacentral:rRNA from 1 species